GUCAGCUCCGGGAACUGCCAGCCGCCCCCCAUCUCUCACCCCCUCCCUCCCCAGCCGCCUUGGUGCAUUGUUUGACCAGGGACCUGUGGCGGUCAGUGAACGCGCGCCCCCGCCUGCCUGAGGGGGAGGGGUGCUGACAGCAGCAGCAGGGGAGCGAGGCGCUGUGGGAAUAAGGAUGGAACGUUCGGCCAAUCAGGAUUCGGAGAAUGGAACCUCCAGCGACAAUAAUAAAACUCCUCGCGUGACGUCAUAAUGGGUGCCUGCCCGCCUCCUUUGCUCUCCCUUAGGGACAAGGAGGAGGAGGUGGGGGAAAGGGACUUCUACUUGUGUGGUGGGAAAGGGGAGUCGCCCACACGGCCACUGUGUUGGUGGGGAAUUCUCCCUCCUCGGGAAGAAACCUUAGCCCUUGUUGUUGGCUCCAAGCCUUUAUGCUUCCCCUCCCCCUCCUCCCUUCCAUGUUACUAAACCACCAAGAGAACCGCAAUGAGAUGCUGCCUUCUGAUAGUUUGUAUCAGUUCCCUAGUCCGCCUCUUCCUUUUCUGUGUGAAAUGAACUAUUUCUGAGCUUUCAAACGUAAAUCGGAAAUUAACUGUAAGCCACAGACUUGAUUGUAUUUUUUUUCAAUAUUAAAGAGGAGUGGUGAAAUGAUGAGUUUAAGAGGGAUUUCCAUUUUCUGUGCGUAAAUAAGACCGCAGUACUUGCUCAUAACACCUGGAAACUUUGCUUUCAGUGGCUCAUGUUCAUUCUGAUAUUUUACUUUUGUUCCUAUUA